UGGACCCGUAAUCCGGGUUGCGGACAGUGUCUGGUGGGUAGUUUGACUGGGGCGGUCUCCUCCUAAAGAGUAACGGAGGAGCACGAAGGUUGGCUAAUCCUGGUCGGACAUCAGGAGGUUAGUGCAAUGGCAUAAGCCAGCUUGACUGCGAGCGUGACGGCGCGAGCAGGUGCGAAAGCAGGUCAUAGUGAUCCGGUGGUUCUGAAUGGAAGGGCCAUCGCUCAACGGAUAAAAGGUACUCCGGGGAUAACAGGCUGAUACCGCCCAAGAGUUCAUAUCGACGGCGGUGUUUGGCACCUCGAUGUCGGCUCAUCACAUCCUGGGGCUGAAGUAGGUCCCAAGGGUAUGGCUGUUCGCCAUUUAAAGUGGUACGCGAGCUGGGUUUAGAACGUCGUGAGACAGUUCGGUCCCUAUCUGCCGUGGGCGCUGGAGAACUGAGGGGGGCUGCUCCUAGUACGAGAGGACCGGAGUGGACGCAUCACUGGUGUUCGGGUUGUCAUGCCAAUGGCACUGCCCGGUAGCUAAAUGCGGAAGAGAUAAGUGCUGAAAGCAUCUAAGCACGAAACUUGCCCCGAGAUGAGUUCUCCCUGAGACUUAGAGUCUCCUGAAGGAACGUUGAAGACGACGACGUUGAUAGGCCGGGUGUGUAAGCGCAGCGAUGCGUUGAGCUAACCGGUACUAAUGAACCGUGAGGCUUAACCUUAC
rnacentral:rRNA from 1 species